UGCUGAGGCUGGCUUUGAACUCAUGAUCUCCUGCCUCAGCCUCCUGAGCCUCUGGAAUUAGACGUGCGCCACCAUGCCCAGCUUAUUUUUUGGUCUUAAUAAUUAAUGUUUCCCUUCUGUUUUCUACUCUCCAGAUCCUAAAAGAGUGCCUCAAUCAUAAAAAAGCACUCACUAUGUAUUUAUGUAUAAAUGAAUAUAUUAAUUCUAUUUAGUGGAAAAUUUGCACCAAGUGUGUCUGAAUAUACAGUCAUGAAGCCCAGCAGAUACAUGUUUCCCUGAGAAGGUAGUAGGGUCUAAGAUGAUCCCCACUGAUCUCAGCUGACUGGUAGUCUGAAAACGGAAAUUACUCACAGAAGUAGAGUAUAAUGGUGAUUCAGAGGCUGGAGGGUGGGGAAAGAGAUGUUGGUUAAAGGGGACAAGUUUCAGUUAGGAUGAAUAAGUUCUGGAGAUCUGUCAGACAGUGUGGUGACUAGAGUUAAUGUAUACUUAGAAACUGCUAAUAGAUUAGAUCUUGAUUGUGCUCACCACACAAGAUGAGGUGAUGGAUAUAUUAAUAAACAUGAUUUAUUAUGUCACAAUGUAUACACAUUUCAAAACACUGUUCACUGUAUAUGAUUUGUCAAUUAUACCUUAAUAAAGCUGGGGAAGAGGUGGGAUGUGAUGCACUGAGGAUGUAUCACUUCUGUGGUAUUAUGAUUUGAAUAUGAGGUAUCCUACAAAAAGCUAAGGAGACACUGUGGCAAUGAUUAGAGGUGAAAUGAUUAUAUUAUGACAGCUGUAGCCUAAUUGGUGGAUUAAACUAUUGAUGAAUUAAUAAUCUGAAAGGACUUCUGCACAGGUUGGUUUUUGGCAGGUGGGGCAUGGCUGAAGGAAAUGCCUUUUGGGGUUUAUAUUUUAUCCCUGAUGCCUCCAUCUCUCUCCUUCCUGGCUACCAUGAGCUGAGCAGCCAUCCUCUGCCAUUCCUUUCUGCCUUGAUGUUCUGCCUCACCUCUGGCUCAGAGCAAUGGAGCAACUGACUAUUGAUUGCAACCGAGAAAUGAUCAGGCAAUCAUACAGGGAGGCAAAUCUUGAAAAGUAUGGAUUUCAAGUCCAUUUCUUUUCUUAUAAAGACAACAUGGCAACUCAAAGAAGCAGAUGUUUUUAAAACACUGGAAUGAUGGAAAACUUGGAGUACAUGUCCAGGACAAUCACAAGGAAAGGUAUGGGGGAAGAAAGGUGGAUGCUGCAUCAAUUUGCAAUAAAAAAGAAAUUCCACUCAA